CCACCCAGCCAUGCCCUGGUCCUCUCAGAAAGGCUGUGACUUCCCCUGAGACUUGUAGUUGGUGUGGGUCAGUGUCAGGGCAUUUCCUGAUCUCCCUCCUCACACCCGUCCUCCCGGGUACGGUAACUCGGGAGGGUGAGUCCCUCCUGCGAGGACGCACUUCCCCUCAGCAAUUUACAUCUUUCUCUUCAAAGUGGGGAGCAAGCACUGGCCCAGAGAUUAAGGAAGCGGCUGCAGAGAAGGAGAGAUGGGUACAUCUUCCACUGUCAACACCUCAGGUACCUAGCUCCUGUGAGACUCCACGGGUCCAGCCAAGUUCCUCUGCUCUCCUGCCACCUGGAUUUCCCUGGGAGCCUUGACAGAUGCGGAGUACCUUGCAGCAAGGCACUCCUUUCCCAGAAAGUGAGAAGUCCUUCCUAGUGUCCACAUUGGCUGUUUUGAAUUUCAUGAAAUUAAAUUUUUUGACUGUUCAUGAAAACCAGGAGCGUGAGGAAAUUUGUGAGGAAGAAUUUGGCAAAGAUUCAUGACACCAGGGUCCCGUGAAUUCUGGCUUUUACCACUUAACGUUCACCUACCCAAGCCCAUGACGCAUUCCUCUUUUGUUAACUUAGUUUGUUUUAAAUCUAAAAUAAAUAAAUAAAAUGUAUAGUCUUACGUGUUUGAAGGGUCUACUUUCAUCUACAGUUUCCUUUUUAUUUUCUUUUUUCCUGUGAUUCUCCCUCUUUGUCAUUUACUUGAGGUUGCCGAGGGGUUUUUCCUGCGGGGUGUUCUGCAGUCUGUGUUUGUCUGGUUUGUCCCUUUGUGUAUUUUACAUGUGGUUCUCUCACGCGUCCUUCCUUUCUGUUUGUGUUGGUACCUACAGCCAUGUCUGGCUAGUGAGGAAAAGCAGGACCCUCUGGAACUGAAAACACUUCAGCAGCUACAUUUUAACAUCUCAGAAACAGGGCUGGGGAUUUAGCUCAGUGGUUCUGCCACCUGCUGCGCAAGCACGAGGACCUGAGUUCAAUCCCCGGUACCAAAAAAAAACAACAACAAACAAAAAAAAUCUCAGAAACAGAGAACACAACAGAAAGAAUCCUUUGCAUUAUUACACAGUGACAAAACAAUGUUGUGUUAGAAAAGCUAUCGAUCUUUUAAAGAAAAAGGUAUUUUAUAUUGCUUUGAUUAUUCACUUACAGAUGACUCCUAAAUGAAAUGAUACUGGGAGUUCAUUCCCGCCUUGCUCUGGCCUUGGGUGAAAUGCUCACCAGUCACAUGUGGGCAGCAGCUUCUCUGUGGGAAUGACAUUGGAGAAUAUUUUCCGGUAAAGAUCUCGCAG
rnacentral:lncRNA from 1 species